rnacentral:rRNA from 1 species
UACGUAGGGUGCGAGCGUUGUCCGGAAUUAUUGGGCGUAAAGGGCUCGUAGGCGGUUUGUCGCGUCGGGGAGUGAAAACCCGAGGCUCAACCUCGGGCCUGCAUUCGAUACGGGCAGACUAGAGUAUGGCAGGGGAGACUGGAAUUCCUGGUGUAGCGGUGAAAUGCGCAGAUAUCAGGAGGAACACCGGUGGCGAAGGCGGGCCUCUGGGCCAAAACUGACGCUGAGGAGCGGAAGCGUGGGGAGCGAACAGGG